AUUGAACGCUGGCGGCAUGCCUUACACAUGCAAGUCGAACGGCAGCACGGGGCAACCUGGUGGCGAGUGGCGAACGGGUGAGUAAUGCAUCGGAACGUGCCAUUGAGUGGGGGAUAACGUAGCGAAAGUUGCGCUAAUACCGCAUAUUCUGUGAGCAGGAAAGCAGGGGACCGCAAGGCCUUGCGCUCUUUGAGCGGCCGAUGUCAGAUUAGCUAGUUGGUGAGGUAACGGCUUACCAAGGCGACGAUCUGUAGCGGGUCUGAGAGGAUGAUCGCCACACUGGAACUGAGACACGGUCCAGACU
rnacentral:rRNA from 1 species